rnacentral:rRNA from 1 species
AACGAACGCUGGCGGCAGGCUUAACACAUGCAAGUCGAGCGCCCCGCAAGGGGAGCGGCAGACGGGUGAGUAACGCGUGGGAAUCUACCCUGAUCUGCGGAAUAGCUCCGGGAAACUGGAAUUAAUACCGCAUGUGCCCUGAGGGGCAAAGAUUUAUCGGUUCAGGAUGAGCCCGCGUCCGAUUAGCUAGUUGGUGGGGUAAUGGCCUACCAAGGCGACGAUCGGUAGCUGGUCUAAGAGGAUGAUCAGCCACAUUGGGACUGAGACACGGCCCAAACUCCUACGGGAGGCAGCAGUGGGGAAUAUUGGACAAUGGGCGCAAGCCUGAUCCAGCCAUGCCGCGUGAGUGAUGAAGGCCCUAGGGUUGUAAAGCUCUUUCAGUGGGGACGAUAAUGACGGUACCCACAGAAGAAGCCCCGGCUAACUUCGUGCCAGCCGCCGCGGUAACAC